rnacentral:rRNA from 1 species
AUUGAACGCUGGCGGCAGGCUUAACACAUGCAAGUCGAGCGGAGAUGAGGUGCUUGCACCUUAUCUUAGCGGCGGACGGGUGAGUAAUGCUUAGGAAUCCGCCUAUUAGUGGGGGACAACAUUCCGAAAGGAAUGCUAAUACCGCAUACGUCCUACGGGAGAAAGCAGGGGAUCUUCGGACCUUGCGCUAAUAGAUGAGCCUAAGUCGGAUUAGCUAGUUGGUGGGGUAAAGGCCUACCAAGGCGACGGUCUGUAGCGGGUCUGAGAGGAUGAUCCGCCACACUGGGACUGAGACACGGCCCAGACUCCUACGGGAGGCAGCAGUGGGGAAUAUUGGACAAUGGGGGGAACCCUGAUCCAGCCAUGCCGCGUGUGUGAAGAAGGCCUUAUGGUUGUAAAGCACUUUAAGCGAGGAGGAGGCUACUGAGACUAAUACUCUUGGAUAGUGGACGUUACUCGCAGAAUAAGCACCGGCUAACUCUGUGCCAGCCGCCGCAGUAACAC